AGUGGUCUCUCAGUAGCAUUGGCAUGUGAACUUUCAUUCCAUGUUUGUGUUUAUUUAGAACUUUCAAUAAUUAACUUAAAAUCCAAACGAUCAUAAAUCCUUCAAAUAGACUAAUAGGUCGGCUUAUAGAAGCCUGGCCUAUUGGACGUAUGUGUAAAUAUGAAACCUACUCGAAAUUGAAUCGAUUUCUUUUAAUGUCAGUAAGAAGAGGCAACUCGAGUAAUCAUACCAGAAAGGAAAUUUUUAGACGGACACCUCGUAGAGACCACUGGAAAGAUUUUCUGGAUAAUUCUGUCAAAUUGCCUUCUGUCGGCAUCUUGAAUAACGUGCUAGACCAUAAAUGUGACAUGUUAUUCGAAGAUUCAAAAUCCAAAAAGUGCAACAGAAAUGACAUGAAAUUCGAGCAAUCAGUUGAAAUAACACAAGUCGUCCUAAAGAAAACAGAUCCAGAUCCAAUAGAUAAACCUGUCGUCGAAAGCGAAUCAGCGGAUUUAGCGUUUUCUAUUGCUUUGCUCUUUGAUAAAAAACUCAAGCGAUCGCUAAUUAAUUUCACAAAAUGUUCGUGUCGAAAAUGUUUAAACCUUUGCAGAUGUAAUCGGCGUGUAUUAACAACUCAAAAAUAAUAAAAGAAAUGAAAAAUAAAUGAAACGUUCGAAAUUGUAA